rnacentral:rRNA from 1 species
UACGUAGGGCGCAAGCGUUAUCCGGAAUUAUUGGGCGUAAAGAGCUCGUAGGCGGUUUGUCGCGUCUGCUGUGAAAACCCGAGGCUCAACCUCGGGCCUGCAGUGGGUACGGGCAGACUAGAGUGCGGUAGGGGGAGAUUGGAAUUCCUGGUGUAGCGGUGAAAUGCGCAGAUAUCAGGAGGAACACCGAUGGCGAAGGCAGCUCGCUGGGACGGUACUGACGCUGAGGCGCGAAAGCGUGGGGAGCAAACAGG